GUGGUCUGUGCGGGAACGGGUGUCAUAAAUAAAUAAGUCUAUUCCUCCCGGCGUCUAACAGCUCCUCGGCUGCUGGAAUACUAACGUGCUCGGAGCGACUCGGACCUGCGCCCAAGGGAGACCCGGGAGACGGUCUGUUUUUUUCUCAUCAUUUAAGAUUUCGAUAUUCAGACUGGACUCAACCUACUUGACUGUCAAUCUCUAAUGAUGAAAGGGGGAACCAUCCUUCUCUUCCUGUUUCUUACAGGUGGUGUUGAUUCAGAUGAAACGUCAAGCACAACUGAAUCACUAAGCGUAAACUCAACUUUGGCUGGAGACCUAACAGGAACAUUCACAAGUGGAAACUCAACUGAAGCUGCAGAAAGCACACGUGGCCCAGCAGUGAACUCGACUCCAGCUCCACAAAGCUCAACUCCCCAAACUGCAUAUUCAGUUGCAGCUGCAGAAAGCACAACUUUCCCAGCUGGAAACUCAACUGCUGCUUCAGAAAAUGCAACUUCACCCCAAGUAAACACAACGGGUACACCAGAAAACACUUCACCACACGUGAACACAACCAGUACACCA